rnacentral:rRNA from 1 species
CCUACGGGUGGCUGCAGUGAGGAAUAUUGGUCAAUGGCCGUAAGGCUGAACCAGCCAAGUCGCGUGAAGGAAGAAGGAUCUAUGGUUUGUAAACUUCUUUUAUAGGGGAAUAAAGGUAUCCACGUGUGGAUAUUUGCAUGUACCCUAUGAAUAAGCAUCGGCUAACUCCGUGCCAGCAGCCGCGGUAAGACGGAGGAUGCGAGCGUUAUCCGGAUUUAUUGGGUUUAAAGGGUGCGUAGGUUGUUUUUUUAAGUCAGCGGUGAAAGUUUGUGGCUCAACCAUAAAAUUGCAGUUGAAACUGGCAGUCUUGAGUACAGUAGAGGUGGGCAGAAUUCGUGGUGUAGCGGUGAAAUGCUUAGAUAUCACGAAGAACUCCGAUUGCGAAGGCAGCUCACUGGACUGCAACUGACACUGAGGCUCGAAAGUGUGGGUAUCAAACAGGAUUAGAUACCCUUGUAGUC